rnacentral:misc_RNA from 1 species
AGUCGUAACAAGGUCUCCGUUGGUGAACCAGCGGAGGGAUCAUUAUCGAGUUACAGAACUCCCAAACCUUUGUGAACAUACCAUCGUUGCUUCGGCGGGAACUCGCCCCAGGACGCCCGGCGCCCUGGGACCCGCCGGGGGACCCAAACUCUUGUUUCAUUUUGGAUACUCUGAGCAUUAUACAAAUAAGCAAUCAAAACUUUCAGCAACGGAUCUCUUGGCUCUGGCAUCGAUGAAGAACGCAGCGAAAUGCGAUAAGUAAUGUGAAUUGCAGAAUUCAGUGAAUCAUCGAAUCUUUGAACGCACAUUGCGCCCGCCAGCACUCUGGCGGGCAUGCCUGUCCGAGCGUCAUUUCAACCCUCAGGACCCCUUCGGGGGUGCCUGGCGUUGGGGAUCGGCCCGCCUCCGCGCGCGGCCGGCCCCGAAUCCCAGUGGCGGCCCCACAGCGAGCUCCCCUGCGCAGUAGCGAUACCUCGCAGCCGGACGAGCGUGGCGGCCACGCCGUAAAACACCCCACUUCUUCAAGGUUGACCUCGGAUCAGGUAGGAAUACCCGCUGAACUUAAGCAUAUCAAUAA